CUGCUGGGCCCACUUACAGGCAGGCGCCCCGGGCAGAUCCGGGCCACAUGUCACCCACCCACCGCAGGCUGGCCGGGCCUCCCUCCCGUGGUGGCUGGGCUCCGUCGGCAGCAAGAAAAAGCAAAUCCCCAUGGUGCUUCCCUCCAUCUCCCCAGGAGGGUGAGAUGGCCGGGGCCUGAGUGGACGUGAGGCACCGCACAGGGGACGGGCACGGCAAGCAUGGUUCAUCGGGGCUGUCACUGCAGAAGUCUUCCACAGGCCUUCGCUGAGAGCAGCAGAGAGCGGAUGGCGCCCAAGGCCGGGACCCUCUGCUGCUCCCACAGGCCUCUCAGGCGGCUCUGCAGGACCAGCCAGCAGCCUCUGAUGCUCCCUUCCUAUUCCAUGGCUUCAGGUGCCAUCCUCUCCACAGAGACGGUUUCUAUUGUGACGCUCUCCCUGACUUGGAAGAAUGGCACUGGGAACAUUCCCCUUGGUGCUGAUGUCGGGGAGGAAAGCAGUUUCCAGUCGCCUGGGGCCAGGACAUGGCGUUCCCAGCUGUUGUAGAGCAUGAAGCACCAGGAUGCCCAUUCGGGUGCCUGCUGAGAUCAGGCUCUUUGAGAAGGAAUCCUGUGGUCGCCUGAGGAAGUCCAAAAAAAUUUCGAGGACAUCUCAGCCAUCCAUCCCCUGUUCACUGUGGAGGUUGAACACCGGGGCUCCUGGAGGGGGGCCCUGGGUCUCCACAGAAGUGCUGGCAGCCACCAUCCACUUCCUGGCCUUCCGUGCCCGCUCCACCUCUGUUCUGUUGUUUACUGUCUCCUUUGUGGGAAUUAUGGAAUAAACAAUCACUCUGGUGUCCUGGAAAAUAAACCUGAUGCUGGAGGGCUUGAGUGUAGG
rnacentral:lncRNA from 10 species